rnacentral:rRNA from 1 species
AAUCUUCCGCAAUGGACGCAAGUCUGACGGAGCAACGCCGCGUGAGUGACGAAGGUUUUCGGAUCGUAAAGCUCUGUCAUUGGGGACGAAAAGAUGACGGUACCCAAGGAGGAAGCCCCGGCUAACUACGUGCCAGCAGCCGCGGUAACACGUAGGGGGCGAGCGUUGUCCGGAUUUAUUGGGCGUAAAGAGCUCGUAGGCUGUUGAGUAAGUCAGCUGUUAAAGCUCCAGGCUCAACCUGGAGAGGCCAGUUGAUACUGCUCUGACUAGAGUCCGGUAGGGGAGUGCGGAAUUCCUGGUGUAGCGGUGGAAUGCGCAGAUAUCAGGAGGAACACCGAUGGCGAAGGCAGCACUCUGGGCCGGUACUGACGCUGAGGAGCGAAAGCGUGGGUAGCAAACA